rnacentral:rRNA from 1 species
GACGAACGCUGGCGGCGUGCUUAACACAUGCAAGUCGAACGGUAAGGCCCUUCGGGGUACACGAGUGGCGAACGGGUGAGUAACACGUGGGUAAUCUGCCCUGCACUUCGGGAUAAGCCUGGGAAACUGGGUCUAAUACCGGAUAGGACCACUGCCUGCAUGGGUGGUGGUGGAAAGCUUUCGCGGUGUGGGAUGGGCCCGCGGCCUAUCAGCUUGUUGGUGGGGUGAUGGCCUACCAAGGCGACGGCGGGUAGCCGGCCUGAGAGGGUGACCGGCCACGCUGGGGCUGGGGUACGGCCCAGACUCCUACGGGAGGCAGGAGUGGGGAAUAUUGCACAAUGGGCGCAAGCCUGAUGCAGCGACGCCGCGUGAGGGAUGACGGCCUUCGGGUUGUAAACCUAUUUCAGUAGGGACGAAGCGCAAGUGACGGUACCUACAGAAGAAGGACCGGCCAACUACGUGCCAGCAGCCGCCGCCG